AAACGCCAGUAAUAGCCGCCAAACGUUUGUUAGACAUUUACAGUGUGCCAGGGACUGCAUUUUACGUGUAUUAUCACAUUCCUCAGAACAGCCUAAUGAGGUAUAUAUUACUAGAAUGCCUAUUUUUCAGAUGAGGAAACUGAUGCAUAGAAAGGAUAAUUUACUCAAGAGCGAGGAAGUAGCAAGCAUAAAAUCCAAGUACAUUUUUUUCUGCAUGUAUUAAUAGGUACAAUGAAGUAACUUUUUAAAUUGCUGUAGGUAUCAAUCAUAGUCUUAAUUCCCAGUAAUUCACUUACUAAGAAAUAUUUUCUGCUUCUCUUUCAUCAUUCAUGGGAGAGAUACAUAUCCCUAAAUAUUUUGCACAUUUAAAACUUAAACUUGGGUAUGGUGGCUUAUGCCUGUAAUCACGGCGUUUUGGGAGGCUCAGGUGGGAGGAUUGCUUGAGUCCAGGAGUUCCAGGCCAGCCUGGGCCACAUAGUAAGACCCCGUAUCUACAAAAAAUAAAAAAAAAAUUAACCGGGCAUGGUAGUGUCUCUGUAGUACUAGCUACUCGGGAGGCUGAGGUGGUAGGAUCACUGGCGCCCAGCAAUUCCAGCCUGCAGUUAGGAUUACCACACUGCACUUCAGCCUGAGCGGCAGAAUGGGACCAUGUCUGAAAAAAUAAAUAAAAAAUAAAACUUGCAGCCUUAAACUUCAUCUGCAAAAAUGUUUUGUGGCAGGUGACUCUGAAGCAGAACUCUUGAGAUGGAAGGAUUGUCAUCUGAGGAAAAAAAAUCAAGAUUAAGAGAGGAGGAACUAGAAUGAGAUUCACAUACCGUCUCUCCUCCAAGGGAAGGAGAGAGUGGUGAUGCCUGCCCACUCCUUCCUGGGCAGAACAUUUGUAGCAUGGAACAUUGGAGAAUUUGCAGUCUGCUGACUUUCUGAUUUAGGAGGUUGAUGGGGAGGCCUUAUAAUUUGCAUUUCUAACAAGUUCUGAGGUGAUGCUUCAAGUAUGUCCAGGCAGAAGGGCUGCCUCACAGAGAAUUCUGCCAUACCACAUGGGAAUUGAAGUCACAGACAUCUCUAACCCUCAAGCCUGAAACCAAAAGACUGAAAACCAACACUACAGUGGACAAAGAACAUCUCUGAACUUGUGUGGGGACCAGUGACACAAGGACCUAAGGUCUCUCUCUUCUCAUCUUGGCACUUCAGAAGUCUCCCCAAUCUUGACAAAGCCCUGGAGAAAGGGCCGGGCCUCCCGUUGAUAAGAAUAUCACUGCAGAUAAAUGGAGGUUUCAAAUUGAAAGAAAGGAGGAGGGCCUCCUGUUGAUAAGAUUAUUGUCACUGCAGGUAAAUGGAGGCUUCAAAUAGAAAUACAUUUCAGUUACAGAAAAAAAAAUUAUCUUUGUUACACAUUUGAGUUUGCAGGCCUAAGGUUACUCCCGCUACACUAUCAUCUGUAACCAUAACGCACUCAACAUUUUAAGCUAACUAUAAGGAUUGUUGCUUCACUCAAAGAUCCUGAGGUUUUAUUCACUAACAUUUUUAUUUGGUGACUAUAGUUGACAAGAACAAAGCUGUGGGGAACCAACAAACACUGCAAUGCCUGGCAUUGUCACCUCACUAGAUUGUGAGUUCCUCUGGGACAGGGUCCGUACAUUUUCUUAGAAUCCCUCACUUAGCCAUUAGCCUGCACAGUGCUUGUACUUAGUAAGUGCUCAGUAAAUGUUUGUGGAAUGAAUGCAUGAUGAACAAAAUAUAUACUGAGGACUCUUGGUGUUGAUUCUUGUUGAUAAUGUAAUAGUUAAGAUAUGUUAUAAAUAUGUUAUAAAUAUUGUAUCAAAAUAUUGUAUCAAAAAUAUACUUGAACAGGC
rnacentral:lncRNA from 10 species